rnacentral:lncRNA from 1 species
GGCACUUGAAACUUCCCAGUGUAGGCUGGGAGAGAAGCAAAAUCACAAAGAUGAUGGUAAAUAACUUCCCCUUUCCCCUUGUGAAAACCACACAACAGAUGGGGAGCUCUCACACUGCCCAUGCAAUUGGGUUCCUGUUCCCCCUGGGACCAGACCUGGCAGCCCCGGCAGGAAGAGAAGGCCAGGAUGCAGCACCUCAGCAGGUAUGAAGAACUUGGGGACAUAUUAUCUUCUGGUCCUUGUCACCCUCUCAGUCCCAGCCCCAACUUGGCCUGGACUAUGGCUUGGUGAAAGUUACUACUGUUCCCUUCAAGCAAAGGAGAAAUGAAUUAUUUCCUUGAGAAAACACCAUCUACCAACAGCUGUGGCUCAGAAGUGCUCUGCCUAUAAAUAAGGAUUCCAUAUUAAAAUACAGUUAAAAUUAUUUUUUAAAACAUACCCCCAAAGCUUAUGAGCCUUUCAUAGGCCUGUUGUUACUUAGUUUGUUAUCCCAUCUAGUAAGAACAAUUACACAUCUUCUAAUUGCUUCAUUCUUUCUAGUCUGCUACACAAAAUAAAGAUGUAAUGGAGACUGAAUGACUGCUUGAACAACCUGGAUUUUCAGAACCACUCUAGAAUUCCUCCAAAAUUCCCAGGUUAGUCCUGGAACUAAUGGAGUGCCUUAUUUUGCACAUGCUAACAGAUGAUGUAUUACAUGAGUCAUAUGUUAGUUUUAAAUGUCAAAAUUUUUAAAGAACUGAACAAGUGAUCACUUCUGUUAUUCAAAAAUAAAAUACAGAAGGCAAUUGUCCAAAUUAUCUUUGCUUAGAGUCACUGCAAGCAGAGAAAAGCUGGCAUUUUUUAUCAGGUUGUUUGGAUUGUGGAUACAAGAGAUGAGGAAAUCCACAUGUCAAUACUUUUGUUAGACUGUUCUAAUUUAUGAUAUCUCCAAUGGAAGCCUUGGUCCCCCACCUGCCUCAGGCUUAUUCCCCACCACAGUGAGGACUUGCUGGACAAGAAGCUGGCAACCCUCAGCAUUUCAAGCACUGCAGCUCACAGGCAAGCCCUGGGAAAACAGAGGUUUUGAGGAGACACUGGGCCCUUGGAGCUCUAUCUGCAUGAGGACUCCUACUGCUGCUAUCAUAGCGAAUGAAUAGGUAGGUGACCUGGUGGUGAGACCUCUGAAGACACUAAUAAAAUGAAGAGCACUGACACUAGCUAAAUUUGGAGAUAUUUGGG